rnacentral:rRNA from 1 species
AACGUAGGUGGCGAGCGUUAUCCGGAUUCAUUGGGCGUAAAGCGCUUGUAGGUGGCCUUGUAAGUUGGACGUGAAAUCUCCCGGCUUAACCGGGCGGGGUCGUUCAAUACUGCAGGGCUGGAGGAUGUCAGAGGGCAGCGGAAUUCCUGGUGUAGCAGUGAAAUGCGUAGAUAUCAGGAGGAACACCCGUGGCGAAGGCGGCCUUCUGGACAGUGACUGACGCUGAGACGCGAAAGCGUGGGGAGCAAACAGG